GCGCCGGUAGUGCAAGGCAGAGCAUAUUGCACAGAGAGCAGAGUGCGCAGGUUCGAGUCCCGCCUGGCGCA
rnacentral:tRNA from 1 species